GAUUGAUUGAUUGAUUGAUUGAUUGAUUGAUUGAUUGAUUGAUUGAUUUAUUGAUGGAUUUAUUGAUUGGCUGGUUGACAUCAUUAAUCAGCCAAAUAAAUACAUGUAAAAUAUGGCGCAAACAAAAUUUGUGUGAAUGGCCACUUUAGAACAGUGAAUAGUAGAACAUUUGUAUAAAAAUUUUGACUUUUAUUUUUACUUUAAAUAUUAUAGGACUUAACGGAAAUGAUAUUAAUAUGAUUUGCUCUGUAGAUUGUUAGUUUUUCAUUUCUGUUUUGAAGAAGGCUUCACCCAAGAGCAACUUGCCACCAGAGUUUAUAGAACAAUUGUUGCGUAGGUUCUUUUUCCUGUUGUUUUGGUGCAAAGGGUUGCGCCUACGGCAAGUGCUCAUUGAUCUGUGUGAGUGCAGGGACACACAACAUAUCCUGGAUUCCAGCUACUCUGGAGAUUGCACCCUUGUUAUGUGUGAGCUCGUGUUGCCGUAGAUCUUUUUUUCCCUCUGCUGCCAGUGAGGAAUUUAAUGGAAGUGUUGGUGGGCAUGUCAGAUUUAUUGAUGCUGUGGUCAGCUGGAACACUCAGAAUGAGGCAGAAAUGCUCCUGUUGUGUCUUUAUUCGCUUCAGACUCCCGUUAGCAGUCGUUCAUUAUUCAGAGCCAUGCAUCGAUGGCUAGCUUUGUGGUUUGGUGGCCUAGUGUGAACACACUAUUCCCUCUGCUCACAUUGUGGUGUUUACUAGUGUUAUGAGUGAGGUUUUAUGGCGCAGAGCUGAUUUGUGUGCAUUAGCUGAGCCAGUGUGUUAUGGAAAAUGUCCCAGCACUACUGUUUUAUGGGUCAGAUUUUUUUGCUAUGCCAAGCCGGAGAAACAUUAGCAUCACACAUUGAAUAAACAAAUCGUGUUCGUAUAAUAAUUCCACUUUUAGUACAGCUGAUGUGGAGAGAUUUGAUGCUCAAAUAAGCAGUGUUUAUGGUAGAAGAGUAUGUGAACAGUCUGCUCAGUAUUUCUGCCCUUUUUUUUUAGUGUGAUGGUUAUUAUGUUCACUUAACAAAUUGAGGAGAAAAUGGUUGUAGUGAGGACCAUUUAUUCGCCAGGUUCUUAUUGUACAGUAUGUAGAAGCCUGACAGAUCUGUGACCAAAUAAGUGACGGCUGUUGUCAUGACGAUGAUGCUUCAAACAGCAUCAUGUGAUUAGAUCAUUUACAGUGGAGGAUACUCCUCAACAGUGGUGAAGGAAGCAGAGAAGAAUCCAUAGAAACUAUAGAUAAUAUUCAAAUAUUCAACAGCAUAGAAGUAGUAUUUAUAGGAAUUGAUUAUUAUUUAUUAAAAUAACAAUGAUAAAUUAUUUUAAAUAAGUAAUAAUUGACAUUUUUGCUUAAUAAUAUUAACAACAAUAAUUUGUUGCAAGCACAGACACUUAAAACUAUGCUCUGGUACCAAUGUCCUGUUUGCUGUACAUACAUUUAUUUAGAAAGCUAGAUUUAUAAUAGAUUUGUUUAUUCUUAUUAAUAAUUGACAUUAAUAAUUAAAUAUAUUUUUAUAACUACUACUACUACUACUACUAUUAUUAUUACUGUUAUUGUUGUUGUUGUUGUUAUUAUAGUAGAUUUAAUUUCCAUCUGAAACAUUUCAGAAUAUUCAACAAUUUUUCAAAGCAAGAAAUAUAGAUUUUCAAGAAUUAGAAUCCUAAUUUAUCAUUCUCAGCUCCUGCAGAGCAGCGCUCAUCUCUCGCUAAUGGUUUUCCUACCAUUACAGAUUGUAAUAAUCAUGAACACAUUUUGAUUUAUGUUAUUUUUUUCCCUAUGAAAAGCAUGAAAAUGCAGCAUUGGCUGAUAUGCCUCGAUUAGGUUGGGAGAUUGAGGAAGUUGUCCAUUUACUGAGACCAUUUUGAGGUUCUCUCCAACAAUAGAUGUGAUUAGUUCUCUGGUAAGGGAGUGUGGUCCUAGAUAAAUAUAAAAGAUCAGUUUCAGCGCAGAAUAUGGGAAUGAUGUGGUACUUGUGGGAUGUUAUUUUUUUAUAAUGCUCUGUGGUGUUGGAGCACCCCGUGCAUAAUGAGGAAACAUCUCGGCUAUGAUGGUGAUUGAUUCUAUCACACUCUGAGACCCUCAGCCCUGUCUCCACGCUAGAUGAUCAGUGAGGUUUUAUAUUAGCAUGAUGAAUGUCUUGCAGUUAUGCACCUUGAGAGGUAAUGUUCUUUUAACCUCGCUCAAGAGUUGUCCUGAACAGAUAACAGCCACCAUAUACCAUGAUUUAACGACUGUCACUAGCAAUGUGGGUAACAUUUUAAUAAGGAAAGAAGGUCACAACAAAACCCAGUUCGAAAAUACUGUGUGAAAUAUAGUAUUUUUUAAAUAAAUUAUUGUGUAAUUAUUUAUUUCUUAUUAAAGGGACAGUAUGUAAGCUUCGCCACUAGAGGUCUCUUAUUAAGAACAGUAACAAAGGUGUUGCUUGAUGAUGCGAUGAAUGAGCAUGGAAUCAUGGGAGUUGUCUUCUUCACAUCCACAGCCAAUGGAAAGCAAUCUGACAGGACUCAGGCAGAAAUCAUAUUCAUGGAAGUUACUGUAGACCUAUCUCGCCUGCACUGGUGUCAACAAUCGGAUUCGCCGGUCGAAAGGGUCUGUGUAGCAGAGCCAGGGAUGGCUAUUUGUAAUUGUAGCAGCACUUCCAGGUUCUACGUCAGAAUGCCGACUCAUUAUUGGCCGACCCUGUUCACGUGAGAAGCAUGACGCAUGCUUGUGAUGCUGAAGCAGGAGCCGGCCAAUAAUUACUCAUAUGAGGCACUGCAAACUGUGAAGGUGUGAAAUCUUCGCAUUGAAGGCAUGGAUAAAAGACAAAAAUGUGUUGUGUGCAUGAUAAAGAGAGAGAACAUGAGUAUGACUAAAAUAUUCAAGACAGCCUUCCAGCCAAUGCAAAUGAGUUCAAAACAGUUUCAUGGCCAGGCUUUUAGAAGCACAUGAAAGAUGCUGGUGGAAAACGCUGAAGAACAAAUUACACUACAGUCAUAGUGAUCCUGGUUCAAACACAAUUUAAAUGUAGCAACUAAACAUAAUGUUCUUGCUUGAGUAAGGGAAGAUAUUUGUAAAAAAACAAAACAAAACAAAAAAAACAGAUGAGAACAUUGCCAAUGUGCCAAUUACUCAUCUGGUUGGGCGAAUAUUGGUAAAGUGAGACACUUGGUUUAAAAUGAUAAAAAGAGUACUUAUUAUGUAAAUAAUACUUUAAAGAAUUACUGAUAUAAGCAAUUUAAAUACAAUAUUUAUGGACACUUAAUUGCAUGUAAAUUGCAGUUAAAUUGAAAUGUAUUAACUUAUAUUAAAGACAUUUAGAGUACAAUUAAGGCAAUUAAGUACAUAUGUAAUUUCAUAAUUACUUCUACUUUCUUUGAAAUAUGGUUAAACUGUACAGCCGAAUGUACUGACAAGCAUUUAUGGUAAACUGAAUAUACUUUAAAUGUCAUUUCUAUUGAAACUUGAAUGUCAUGUUUUUAAAUGUAUUUGUAAUUACAUAUUUGUAAUGAUGCAUUUGUAAUUCUGUACAUUUAAAAUAUAUUAAAAAUUUAAUAUUGAAUAACAGUACAGUUUAAAUUAUUAAAAAUUAAGUACUUUACAUGUGCUUUAGUAUGUCACAUCAAA